rnacentral:piRNA from 1 species
UGGACACAGACAUGCAUGCAAGGAAGGCC